rnacentral:rRNA from 1 species
UGGGGAAUAUUCCGCAAUGGACGAAAGUCUGACGGAGCAAUGCCGCGUGAGUGAUGAAGGCCUUUGGGUCGUAAAACUCUGUCUUCGGGGAUGAAACCAUUAUGUGAUAAUACCACAUAGUAUUGACAGUACCCGAGGAGGAAGCCCCGGCUAACUACGUGCCAGCAGCCGCGGUAAUACGUAGGGGGCGAGCGUUGUCCGGAAUCAUUGGGCGUAAAGGGCGUGUAGGCGGUUUUGUAAGUCAGAUGUGAAAACUUGAGGCUCAACUUCAAGCCUGCAUCUGAAACGACAUCACGUGAGGGCAGGAGAGGAAAGUGGAAUUCCAUGUGUAGCGGUGAAAUGCGUAGAUAUAUGGAAGAACACCAGUGGCGAAGGCGACUUUCUGGACUGAACCUGACGCUGAGGCACGAAAGCCAGGGGAGCGAACG